GAUGAACGCUAGCGGCAGGCUUAAUACAUGCAAGUCGUGGGGCAGCAGGGGUGUGGCAAUACAUCUGCUGGCGACCGGCAAACGGGUGCGUAACACGUACGCAACCUUCCCGUUACUGUGGCAUAGCCCAGGGAAACUUGGAUUAAUACCACAUAUUAUAUAGAGAGGGCAUCCUUUUUAUAUCAAAGCUUCGGCGGUAACGGAUGGGCGUGCGGUUGAUUAGGUAGUUGGCGGGGUAACGGCCCACCAAGCCUACGAUCAAUAGCUGAUGUGAGAGCAUGAUCAGCCACACGGGCACUGAGACACGGGCCCGACUCCUACGGGAGGCAGCAGUAAGGAAUAUUGGGCAAUGGACGAAAGUCUGACCCAGCCAUGCCGCGUGAAGGAUUAAGGUCCUCUGGAUUGUAAACUUCUUUUCUCUGGGGCGAAAACCAGCUAUUCUUAGCUAUUUGACAGUACCAGAGGAAUAAGCACCGGCUAACUCCGUGCCAGCAGCCGCGGUAACAC
rnacentral:rRNA from 1 species